rnacentral:rRNA from 1 species
UACGUAGGGGGCUAGCGUUGUCCGGAAUCAUUGGGCGUAAAGCGCGUGUAGGCGGCCGGUAAGUCCGCUGUGAAAGUCGGGGGCUCAACCCUCGGAUGCCGGUGGAUACUGUCGGGCUGAGUGACGGAAGAGGCGAGUGGAAUUCCUGGUGUAGCGGUGAAAUGCGCAGAUAUCAGGAGGAACACCAAUUGCGAAGGCAGCUCGCUGGGACGUUUACUGACGCUGAGACGCGAAAAGCGUGGGGA